rnacentral:rRNA from 1 species
CAGUCGCCACGGUAAUACAGAGGGUGCGAGCGUUAAUCGGAUUUACUGGGCGUAAAGCGUGCGUAGGCGGCUUCUUAAGUCGGAUGUGAAAUCCCUGAGCUUAACUUAGGAAUUGCAUUCGAUACUGGGAAGCUAGAGUAUGGGAGAGGAUGGUAGAAUUCCAGGUGUAGCGGUGAAAUGCGUAGAGAUCUGGAGGAAUACCGAUGGCGAAGGCAGCCAUCUGGCCUAAUACUGACGCUGAGGUACGAAAGCAUGGGGAGCAAACAGGAUUAGAUACCCCUGUAGUCCCUGUUUCUUAUAC